GACGAACGCUGGCGGCGUGCCUAAUACAUGCAAGUCGAGCGAUGAAGAUUGGUGCUUGCUCCAAUUUGAAGAGCAGCGAACGGGUGAGUAACGCGUGGAGAAUCUGCCUUUGAGCGGGGGACAACAUUUGGAAACGAAUGCUAAUACCGCAUAACAUCUUUAAACAUAAGGUUCAAGUUUGAAAGACGCUAUUGCAUCACUCAAAGAUGAUCCCGCGUUGUAUUAGCUAGUUGGUAAGGUAAAGGCCCACCAAGGGAAUGAUACAUAGCCGACCUGAGAGGGGGUCGGCCCACACUGGAAUGGAGACCGGGUCAAGACUCCUACGGGGGGAAGAAGAGGGGAACUUUGGGAAAUGGGCAAAGUCUGGACGGGGCAAGGCGGGGGGAGGAAGGAGGUUCUCGGGUCGGAAAACUCCGUUGAUAGGGAAGAAAGAUAGUGGGAAUGAAAUGCUCAUAUAGUGACGGUAACUAAUCAGAAAGGGACGGCUAACUACGUG
rnacentral:rRNA from 1 species